rnacentral:rRNA from 1 species
UACGUAGGGUGCAAGCGUUGUCCGGAAUUAUUGGGCGUAAAGAGCUCGUAGGCGGUUUGUCGCGUCUGCUGUGAAAACCCGAGGCUCAACCUCGGGCCUGCAGUGGGUACGGGCAGACUAGAGUGUGGUAGGGGGAGACUGGAAUUCCUGGUGUAGCGGUGGAAUGCGCAGAUAUCAGGAGGAACACCGGAUGGCGAAGGCAGAUCUCUGGGCCGU